CGGCAGGCCUUAUACAUGCAAGUCGAACGGUAACAUUGGUGCUUGCACCAGAUGACGAGUGGCGCACGGGUGCGUAACGCGUAUGCAACCUACCUUUUACUAGAGUAUAGCCCAGAGAAAUUUGGAUUAAUCCUCUAUAACAUCUUUUAAUUUCAUGAUUAAUUGAUUAAAGUUUUAACGGUAAAAGAUGGGCAUGCGUCCUAUUAGUUUGUAGGUGAGGUAACGGCUCACCUAGACUACGAUAGGUAGGGGCCCUGAGAGGGGGAUCCCCCACACUGGUACUGAGACACGGACCAGACUCCUACGGGAGGCAGCAGUAAGGAAUAUUGGACAAUGGACGAAAGUCUGAUCCAGCCAUGCCGCGUGCAGGAUGAAAGCCCUAUGGGUUGUAAACUGCUUUUAUACAGGAAGAAACACUCCGACGUGUCGGAGCUUGACGGUACUGUAAGAAUAAGGAUCGGCUAA
rnacentral:rRNA from 1 species